GACGAACGCUGGCGGCGUGCUUAACACAUGCAAGUCGAACGGAAAGGCCCUGCUUUUGUGGGGUGCUCGAGUGGCGAACGGGUGAGUAACACGUGAGUAACCUGCCCUUGACUUUGGGAUAACUUCAGGAAACUGGGGCUAAUACCGGAUAGGAGCUCCUGCUGCAUGGUGGGGGUUGGAAAGUUUCGGCGGUUGGGGAUGGACUCGCGGCUUAUCAGCUUGUUGGUGGGGUAGUGGCUUACCAAGGCUUUGACGGGUAGCCGGCCUGAGAGGGUGACCGGCCACAUUGGGACUGGGAUGCGGCCCAGACUCCUACGGGAGGCAGCAGUGGGGAAUAUUGCACAAUGGGCGGAAGCCUGAUGCAGCAACGCCGCGUGCGGGAUGACGGCCUUCGGGUUGUAAACCGCUUUCGCCUGUGACGAAGCGUGAGUGACGGUAAUGGGUAAAGAAGCACCGGCUAACUACGUG
rnacentral:rRNA from 1 species